GGAUUCGCAAGAACCUCGCGCGAUUGGAGCGGCUGAUAUCAGAUUAGGUUGUUGGUGAGGUAAAAGCUCACCAAGCCGACGAUCUGUAGCUGGUUUGAGAGAACGACCAGCCACACUGGGACUGAGACACGGCCCAGACUCCUACGGGGGGCAGCAGUGGGGAAUUUUGGACAAUGGGCGAAAGCCUGAUCCAGCAAUGCCGCGUGUGGGAAGAAGGCCUUCGGGUUGUAAACCACUUUUGUACGGAACGAAACGGUUCGCUUUAAUACAGUGGGCUAAUGACGGUACCGUAAGAAUAAGCACCGGCUAACUACGUGCCAGCAGCCGCGGUAAUACGUAGGGUGCGAGCGUUAA
rnacentral:rRNA from 1 species